GACGAACGCUGGCGGCGUGCUUAACACAUGCAAGUCGAACGGAGUGGCGAACGGGUGAGUAACACGUGGGUGACCUGCCCUGCACUUCGGGAUAAGCCUGAGAAACUGGCUCUAAUCACGGAUAGUGUGGGAUGGGCACGCGGCCUAUCAGCUUGUUGGUGGGGUAAUGGCCUACCAAGGCGGCGACGGGUAGACGAACUGAGAGGGUGGACGGCCACAGUGGGACUGCGACACGGCCCAGACGCGUACGGGCGGCAGCAGUGGGGAAUAUUGCACAAUGGGCGGAAGCCUGAUGCAGCGACGCCGGGUGGGGGAUGACGGCCUUCUGGUUGUAAACUCCUUUUACCAUCGACGCGGUAGAUGGAGAAGAAGCACCGGCUAACUACGUGCCAGCAGCCGCGGUAAUAC
rnacentral:rRNA from 1 species